rnacentral:rRNA from 1 species
GACGAACGCUGGCGGCGUGCUUAACACAUGCAAGUCGAACGGAAAGGCCUGCUUUCCCUUGUGGAUUGCGGGUACUCGAGUGGCGAACGGGUGAGUAACACGUGAGUGAUCUGCCCCCAACUUGGGUAUAAGCCUGGGAAACUGGGUCUAAUUCCCGAUAGGACUGCAGGGUGGUGCCUGUGGUGGAAAACGAUUUUCUAGUGGUUGGGGAUGAGCUCGCGGCCUAUCAGCUUGUUGGUGGGGUAAUGGCCUACCAAGGCGGCGACGGGUAGCCGGCCUGAGAGGGUGGACGGCCACAGUGGGACGGAGAUACGGCCCAGACGCCUACGGGAGGCAGCAGUGGGGAAUAUUGCACAAUGGGCGGAAGCCUGAUGCAGCGACGGCGCGUGGGGGAUGACGGCCUUCGGGUUGUAAACUCCUUUCGACCGCGAGGAAGCCACCUGGUUGGAAGGGUGGUGACGGUAGUGGUAGAAGAAGCACCGGCUAACUACG